UACGUAGGGGGCAAGCGUUGUCCGGAAUCAUUGGGCGUAAAGAGCGUGUAGGCGGCUCGGUAAGUCCGCUGUAAAAGUCCAGGGCUCAACCCUGGAAAGCCGGUGGAAACUGUCGAGCUAGAGUCCGGAAGAGGCGAGUGGAAUUCCUGGUGUAGCGGUGAAAUGCGCAGAUAUCAGGAGGAACACCCGUGGCGAAGGCGGCUCUCUGGGACGGUACUGACGCUGAGACGCGAAAGCGUGGGGAGCGAACAGG
rnacentral:rRNA from 1 species